rnacentral:rRNA from 1 species
CCUACGGGUGGCUGCAGUGAGGAAUAUUGGUCAAUGGGCGUAAGCCUGAACCAGCCAAGUCGCGUGAGGGAUGAAGGUUCUAUGGAUCGUAAACCUCUUUUAUAAGGGAAUAAAGUGUGGGACGUGUCCUAUUUUGUAUGUACCUUAUGAAUAAGGAUCGGCUAACUCCGUGCCAGCAGCCGCGGUAAUACGGAGGAUGCGAGCGUUAUCCGGAUUUAUUGGGUUUAAAGGGUGCGUAGGCGGACUGUUAAGUCAGCGGUAAAAGCCCGGGGCUCAACCCCGGCGAGCCGUUGAAACUGGCUGUCUUGAGAUGUCGAGAGGUAUGCGGAAUGCGCAGUGUAGCGGUGAAAUGCUUAGAUAUUGCGCAGAACUCCGAUUGCGAAGGCAGCAUACCGGCGGCGAUCUGACGCUGAGGCACGAAAGCGUGGGUAUCGAACAGGAUUAGAUACCCUUGUAGUC